GAGGACAGAAUGCUGACUGGUCACCUACGUCAUGCGGAAGAGCCUUUAUGUAUGGUGGGCCGGCUCACACGUCAUCAGCCCACCCUGCCGACGUCACGGACGGAAAACUCUCAUGAUCUGUUUCUCAUCAGAAGAACAUGUGUGGUAUCUUAUCCGGAGGGGUUGUUUUACCUUCUCACUUUGUGUGUACUUGUGUCAGGCACUCUGUCCUGUCACGUUUCUUACAGCUGGAUACAGAGGAAACUAUGGAAGGAAAUUCAACAUUUUUUUCCAGCAUUAUGGGAGUGAACAGUGACCUCCAUCACAGCAGAAUAUGACCUACUGGAUUGUAAAGUCACCAGUCAAACUAUAUUGACCCUCUCAGGGAGGCUCAAUGUUCUUGCCCUCCUCUACAGGGAUGUUCAAACACAGAGUUAACUACAGGGCAUCGACUCAGGAGCCGCCUGGGAUUCAAUGUUUUUACCCGCGGAUGCCGUAGGAGGAGGAUCGAUGGCUGUUGACACAGCACUGAAACCAACUGCAGUCUGCCACCAUGAUACCCAGAUGGUUUAUGAGCCAGAAACAAGUAUAAUUCUGAAUUUAUUGCGACAUGCACCACAUGGACUUCCAGCCUGAUUUCCCACUCAUCCUUCCGGUUUCUGCCCACUCGUGUGGGGAUGCAAAGAGUAAAGAUAACUCAGCAAGUACUGGCCACAUUUGCAUGAAGUUGUCAGAGAUAUUAAUGGUCCCUAGAGGAUUCCUAAUGGGUUUGAUUACUUCCUGACCUUUCAAAAGCUACUGUAAUGGCAAAAUUUACAUAGUAUUUUCAGUGGAUAUUCAUGGGCCCACAGGGUGAAUCCUAACGUCUGUGUGAUCAUCUGACCUUUAUCACCAUCAUUAGAACAAAAUGUCAAACUAUUUCCCUUCUUUCAGAGCAGCUUUUUAUAGACUUUUCAGGCUUUGUGUAAAGAAACUGUAAGCUCUUGAUCUGAUGAGCACUUUAUUUCAUGACCUCUUUUUGUUUUUCUCAGGCUACUGUACAGUGGAGUAGAAGGUGUGGGGCGUAACAGUUUCAUAAGAAGUCCUGUGGAUUGGGUGUAUUAUGAGAAUACGACACCCGUGUUAUUGUUCACACUGACAUGGCAACAUGAGUCACUUCCUCCAUCUGCCAGUAAACGACUACCGGGCGAGACCAGACUGGUAACGCCUCUUUGUAGCUCAGGUUACACUGUUCCGCCCAUUGUGCAAGAUAGGCCAUGUCAGGAUGAUGGUGAAAUAUUCCAGAUAAGACACACAUAUUAAAAGAUUUGGCAACGUUUGUUUCCAGAACUCAUGAACUUUUAUAGGGCGUAUGAGUAAUUGUAGGGCAAAGGUAAUAUUAAAUCUGCGUAGUUAACAAAUAACAUGUUCAAACUGCAUUUCCACAGUCUUGUUGUGAUGUGGUUAAACCUGAAUAGUCAGUGUGUCUGGAACUGGAACAUCCAUAUAUUUAGAAAGCUACUCCAAUUGUUUCAUUUGAAUAUUGUUAUAGACCUGAAGACUUGUAAAACUAACCAGUGUUUCACAAUAAAAAAUGUGUCUAUUUAUACCCGGGUGAGAAUAGUCACACGGCUAUUUACAUCCAGUAAUAGUAAUAGUAAUAUAAAUAGCGAAAAAGUACAUGCAAGGAGUAAGUGGAUUGUGGUGGAUGAAUGGGUCAAAUUUAGGAUUGACACUCUGGAGACUAGAGAUUGAGUCCUGUACAGGGCCGGUUUUAGCUCUUUUGGUGCCCUGGGCGAAAUUCAGAUUUCUCUAACCCUAACCCUGUAAACCGCAACACACAUCAGACAUCACAAUGGUUUUAAGACAAAAAUUAAGAUCUUUAUUUUCAUAAAUAACUGGAUUUAUUAUAAUAUAAAUAUACAAUUGGUCCCUGAUAUUGUUGGCUUAAAAUUGUUUAGUCAGCUUCAUUUUUGUUACCUCAAUGCAGAAAAUGAGGCAGGCAUGACCCAGCGGCAUUUUUGGGAAAAAAAGUAAUUUAUUUUUAUUAUUAAUAUUUUCAGUUUUCACAGAUUGGUUUGGUUUAGGCACCAAACUACAUGGUUUAGGAAAAAUAUACAUACAGUACAUAUACACUUACAGUAUCUAAUGUGUGCCCGGGUCGGGUGAAAAUAGCAUCGUGGGCUAUGGACACAUGGCUGCUAAUAGCAUCUGCCUGAAAAAUAAUAGAGAAAAGUCAGAAAAAUAAACAUUUAAUCUAUUGGACGUUGAGUUUAAAGGAAUAACAAAAGCCUUGUAAAAUGACAAGUUGUCGGUUUAACACUUUGUCUUUUGCAUGGAUUAAACAAACAAAAUACAAUGUGUUAAUUAUUGAGCUUUAGAGGUGCUGGUAGGUGGAUUUUGUUACCUUUUAACAGACCCAGGCUAGCAGUUCCCUCCUGUUUCCAGUCUUUGUGCUGAGCUAAGCUAACUGGCUGCUGCCUGACAUUCUGCCAGAAGGCCAGUAAGCAUAUUUCCCCAAAUGUUGAACUAUUCCUUUAAAUGACUUUGUCACAUUUUUACACCAGAAAUCUGUUUGUUUGCAUUUCUCAUACAUUUAUUCAUCCUGAAAGCCCUCACAUUUAUCUUGCGACCCCUUGUGAUGUCCCGACCUCUAUAGGUUGGCACCCACUGUCCUAAUAAAAGUCUUUAAUUCUCUUCACACCCUCAAAUCCAGAAUGACAGGUUCUGUUGGUUGUCUGAUGAAUUGGUUUGUCAGAGAGGAGGUUGAAGAAUAACACAGAGAGAACGUCUUGUUUAUUCAGUUUUUAUGUACAUUAUCUAAUCACUUAGUGGAGCUUAAAAGAUUACUCCUUGUGGGUAUUCCUAUUGUCACUCGCUGAUAUAAUCCCAUCGCUUUCAAAGUUGUUUCAUCAUUAUUUGAUCAUUUUUCCCUGUUAGUCUGGAGAGUGUUGCACCUUUCUCUAUGCCUGCUCUUGUUUGCUGCUUCACUCCUGAGGGGCAUCAAUCAUUCAUCAAAAGCAAAAUGGAGCCAGUUGUCUGACAGUAAACACUCCUCUCCGAGUUAAUUAAGCCCAGUGUGCCAGUGAAGUCAGCGAGGGCUCGCUCUGCACUCGAGGAAAAGAGUGCAGUUCCAGUCGGAGCUGGUGUGAAGUUGGUUAUUAUUUCAUUUGGUUUGCUUCUUUUCUCUUUGAUGUGAGUUUCACUGAUCUAAUGAUGUUGUUUGAACCUUAUUUGGACCUUCAGUAUCAAGUAGAAAGAUGCUGAAUGCAAACUAUAUUUCAACUUCAUCAUCUCAAUAAUACAGUUUCUUCUUGCUUUGAGAUGACAGGGCUUACUAAUGGAUGAAUGUUUGCAUGAGUUUUUAAAACUUGAUUUAACCCAGAUAUUUCACUUAUCUGUGCUCUUUUUCAGGAGUGCCCAGUGCAACCACAGUCUGAUCUGUUGGUAACUGAGACGCUCCAGUGUAGUAGUAGAUGAGGAAUAAGGACCUUUCUCAUGUCAGUAAUUGUUAUGAAGGCGGAUCCUUUUGGUGUCCAACCUCAAGCAAUGCUCUCUUUUUUAUGCUCUCAUGUGAUGUAGGUUUGAGGCUAUCUUAAAUAACCCUUCAGAAUAAGGCCAUUAGAAAAAUGUUGCUUAAUCAAGUUAACAUUUGAAUAUUGCAAUUUUCUCCAAGUCAAACUCCCCGUACAAUGAAAUUCUUCCUUUGCCUGAUCUGAGUGCCACUUACAAGGAAGCACAAAGUAUAAGAAAGAAGUACAAGAAAAUAGAUACAGAAAGAAAGAACACUACGUACAAUAUACAAUAAAAAUAUAGCAGAAUGCUACGUGUAAUAUACAAUAAUAGAAUGCUCCACUACUCAUCAAUAAGUGUAACUGGGGAUCCAAUACUCAAACUGCAUCGAUGACCAAUCAGAUCCUCUAAAGCUUGCCCAAAAAAUAAUAAUCUUUACUAAUAAUAUGUCAGUAGACACAUUGUGUAACACCGCAGCAAAUGUUAUGGCCCAGAUAUAGUAUCAUCAAGCUUCCGCCUGCUUUCAUAUAGAUCGAUUUUGUUUGUUUGGUCAGGGAACAUACAGCAAUAUCGAUAUAGUAUAACCUAAAUCAUAUUUAGGAGGGCCACAUAAAGAUUAUUUUUUUUAUUGUGAACUAAAUUGGGCUCAAGUCUUCAGGAGGGGAAAGGAUGUAAUUUGUUCCGAACAUUUUCAAUUUGAAUACUGUGGGAUGAUUCACAUAAUGCAUCUGUUAAUUCAGGUAUUUUUCACAGUUUACAUAUUGUGAUCCGUGAGAUGUAGUGUCCAUUUUCAUUUCAAGCUGUAUUUCACCACAAGAUGGCAGUAACGUGUUUAAAACAAAUUAAAUGAACAAUAAUUAUGUGGGACAUAAUGGAAAUGACUAGCAUUGUUUACCAUUACUCCACUAAAUGCCCUGAAUAUGCUUUUUAAAGAAAAAAAACUAUUUUAUUCCAUCA